GGGCGAGGCUCAGCCAUUGCACUCCGGCUGUGCUGACCCCUGCAAAUUUCCCAAAUGUGGAAAUCUCGAUUGCAUAAUUUCUGGUACUGGGGGACUGCGUUCGCGCUCUCCCCUG
rnacentral:snRNA from 8 species